ACACGACGACUAGCGUAAUUUUUUUUAAGAGUUCUAAUCGAAAAAAAAGAUUGCGACCUCGAUGUUGGAUUAAAAUUAAAUUUUGGUGUAGAAGCUAAAAGGUUUGGUCUGUUCGACCAUUAAAAUUUUACAUGAUCUGAGUUUAAACCGGUGUGAGCCAGGUUGGUUUCUAUCUUUAAUAAAUAAAAUAUUUUAGUACGAAAGGAUCAAGUAUUUAAUUAAAAAUUUUUUUAUAGAAUAAUAUU
rnacentral:rRNA from 1 species